rnacentral:rRNA from 1 species
UACAGACGGUCCAAACGUUAUUCGGAAUCACUGGGCUUAAAGAGUUCGUAGGCGGGCCUUUAAGUCAGUGGUGAAAUCUCCCCGCUCAACGGGGAAACUGCCAUUGAUACUAUUGGUCUUGAAUUUAGUUGAGGUGGGCGGAAUGUGUCGUGUAGCGGUGAAAUGCUUAGAUAUGACACAGAACACCGAUUGCGAAGGCAGCUCGCUAAACUAAUAUUGACGCUGAGGCACGAAAGCGUGGGGAUCAAACAGG